AUGUCGAGCACUACAUUGGCGCUGGUGCGGAAGCAGAAGAGAAACAUCCAAGGGUGUAUGAGAGUUGGUGAAUGGGAGAUUUGUCUGACCCUUAGUGAUGGCGAGUUCAACCAAGUUAGCUUCACGAACGGACAUUCAACUUUGGGUGGAAGCCAUGUGGACUGCGUAGCAGACCAGGUUAUAGCAUAUGUCAUGAGGAACAUUGAGGAAAGUGGCAAGCAGAGAGAAAUCACGCAUGAAAAUGUCAAGAGCUGGCUGUGGUUAUUUCUCAAUGUGACAGAUGAAAAUGCUACAUUUGACUUACCCUGCAAAGAAACUGUGACAAACAGCAAAGUGUUUACUUGCAAGCUAUCAGAUGAGUUCCUUCAAAAAUUUAUUGAGUUUGGAAUCAUCAAUAUACUAUGUCCCAUGGGUGAUCCGACCAUCGAAUCAGAUUUAUCUGAUUCAGAUGUAACUGGAAUUCCGAAAUUGGAUGAUGUGAAGUUUGCUGGUGGUACAAAAGCUAGGAAGUGCACCUUGAUUCUUACCGAAGGAGAUUCAGCAAAGUUACUUGUGAUGAAUGCCCUGGGUACUAUUGGACGGGAUUACUAUGGCGUGUAUCCAUUGAAUGGAAAAAUCAUGAAUGUGAAUGGACGUACACCAGCCCAAGUAUGGGAAAGCUCUAAAGUUCAAACUAUAAUGCGGAUAAUGGGUCUGAAAUUUGAACGCAAGUACAGUGUUGUUGAUGGCUUGCGGUAUGGCCGUAUAAUGAUUAUGAUGGAUCAGGACGUUGACGGUUCUCACAUCAAAGGCUUAAUCAUCAAUUUAUUCCUUGAAUGUUGGCCUUCUUUGCUCAAAGUUGAAGGGUUUUUACAGCAGUUUAUCACUCCAAUCAUCAGACUUUCCCGUAAUAGUGAAAGUAUUUUUUUCUACUCAAUGAUCGAGUAUAAACUGUGGAAUGAGAGGCACGAAGGAGAGGCUGGUAACUGGACAGUGAAAUAUUAUAAGGGUUUAGGAACAAGCACCACUGCUGACGCUGCUAAGUAUUUUCGACACAUGCGCAAACACACACGAAACUUCAUUUGGCGUGGUGUGGAAGACAGUACUAGUAUAAAGUUAGCAUUUGAUAGGAAGUCAGCAGCCUUAAGAAAAGAAUGGAUGAAAAUUGGGUUCGAGUUUCAGUAUCACAUGGAUUACACUCAAGAAUGCAUUAGUUAUAGUGACUUCAUAAAUAAUGAGAUGCGGCUGUACUCUAUAGCAAAUCUUGAGCGGUCAACACCAUCGGUGAUGGAUGGCUUUAAGCCUGUCCAAAGGAAGAUUAUGCAUUCCUGCUUGAAGAGAACCUUAAAAGAAGUUAAGGUCAGUUUUCCUGCCUGCAAUCUCUGUUUCCCUGCCUGA
rnacentral:rRNA from 1 species